UCUCAGGUUAUUAAAUGGACAGUAGCUACUAACCUAGACUCUCAGGUUAUUAAAUGGACAGUAGCUACUGGCCUAGACUCUCAGGUUAUUAAAUGGACAGCAGCUACUGGCCUAGACUCUCAGGUUAUUAAAUGGACAGUAGCUACUGGCCUAGACUCUCAGGUUAUUAAAUGGACAGUAGCUACUGGCCUAGACUCUCAGGUUAUUAAAUGGACAGUAGCUAAUGGCCUAGACUCUCAGGUUAUUAAAGGGACAGUAGCUACAGACCUAGACUCUCAGGUUAUUAAAGGGACAGUAGCUACAGACCUAGACUCUCAGGUUAUUACAUGGACAGCAGCUACUGACCUAGACUCUCAGGUUAUUAAAGGGGCAGUAGCUACAGACCUAGACUCUCAGGUUAUUAAAUGGACAGUAGCUACUGACCUAGACUCUCAGGUUAUUAAAGGGGCAGUAGCUACUGACCUAGACUCUCUGGUUAUUAAAUAAUAUAUGCCAUUUAGCAGACGCUUUUAUCCAAAGCGACUUACAGUCAUGUGUGCAUACAUUCUACGUAUGGGUGGUCCCGGGAAUCGAACCCACUACCCUGGCGUUACAAGCGCCAUG